GCGGGAAUGCUGGAAUUGGCAGACAGGCAAGACUAAGGAUCUUGUGUGUUAUACACGUAGGGGUUCAAGUCCCCUUUCCCGCA
rnacentral:tRNA from 1 species